CAUUGUCAUUUUAUUCGCCGAAAACAUAGAAUUUAUAAGGGAUACAUAAACUGGCCCAGAGUUUUCUUAGGAGGCCUCUAAAUUCCAUUUAGUUUUCAACAAUAUUUUUGAUAUUUUUAACUCUCAGAAUGGAUUUACAAAAUAUUCAUAUAAAAAAAUUAUCAAAAAUAUAAGAACAACAUACUUUUUAAUAAUUUUGAAAUAAUUAAAUUGUAUAUUAUUGGACUUACUUUAAAAGAAAGGUCAACCAUAGUCACAAAGAAAAACGGGAUUUUUGGGCUUUCUAAUUUGUAUGGAAAGCUUACAACGUAUGUAUAAAUACUAUGUAAAAGAAAAUCAAUUAUUGAAAUAUAUUUUGACUAACUGGUGGAGGUCCACGUAUACAAAAAGCAAAAACGGAAGAUAAUAAUAUAUUCAAUUAAUGUAAAAAUGAGAAGAGCAUUGUGGGAUUAAAAAACAUGAUGGUGAUAGAUUGUCUAAAACUAAUAGGAGUACUGGUAUUUCUCAAAACAAAACUGAUGGUUACAAAGAAACAGAAGAAAAGGGAUGAUACUAAUUUACUAGACAAAAGGCUGUUCUUUUGUAAUAUGGAGAUGGGCAAAAUUCAAAGUAGUAGUAUUCAAAACAGAGAAGAACAUAAGCUAAAGAAAAAAAGGGUUGUUAGACAUUGAAAUAAAAAAAGAACAGUAAAGUUCUCAAAGAGAACUUAUUUAAUAAUUUUAAUUAGUGUUUAUAUUGUCAUGUAAAAAAUGUAAUAUAUGUUAUUUCUGAAUAAAAGACAUUUAAUAAUGAUA